rnacentral:pre_miRNA from 12 species
CCAUGAAAAUUUGCAUUUACAACGUGUCUUUAGUUCAUGUGACACUAAGGCACGCGGUGAAUGCUGAAUUAAAUGGU